GACGAACGCUGGCGGCGUGCUUAACACAUGCAAGUCGAACGGAAAGGCCCUGCUUUUGUGGGUUGCUCGAGUGGCGCACGCGUGAGUAACACGUGAGUAACCUGCCCUUGACUUUCGGAUAACUUCAGGAAACUGGGGCUAAUAUCGGAUAGGAGCUCCUGCUGCAUGUUGUGGGUUGGAAAGUUUCGGCGGUUGGGGAUGGACUCGCGGCUUAUGAGCUUGUUGGUGGGGUGGUGGCUUACAAAGGCUUUGAGGGGAGGCCGGCCUGAGAGGGGGACGGGCACAAUGGGACUGAGGGAAGGAGCAGAAGUCCAACGGAAGCAAGGGGUGGGAAAAUUACGAAGAGGGCGGAAGCGUGAGGCAGAAACGCCGCGAGCGGGAUGACGGCCUUCGGGGGGUAAACCGAUGUCGCAGGUGACGAAGCGGGAGUGACGGUAAUGGGUAAAGAAGCACCGGCUAACUACGUG
rnacentral:rRNA from 1 species